UAUAUGAUUCAUCAAGAACAGUGGAAUCCAGAAUUAAGCCUCAAAUUUGACUGAUUUACUAUAGAACAAAUAGUACGAAAAUUCACCGGGCCGAGGCCAAGAUCAGAAAUGAGAAAAAUGGGAACUGAUUGAUGGAUAUGGAUGAAACUUUGCAUCAGUGUUGUGUUUAUGAAUAGAAGUCAGGAAAAUUAAGGAUAACUGACAGACUGUGCAGUUACCAAAGCCUGGGUUUGAGUACAGGACCUUACCUUAUCCUGGUAAAGAUCUAUGGAAGGACUCCUUCAGCUCAGUUUGGCAGCAGCUUUGUCGGGACACAUUGAGAAGGAACUCAUUUGUUGGUGGAAGGAUUAAAGAUGUACUACCCACCAGCUGUCAGGAGUUUUUAAAGUGGUGAAUUUAAACAGUGUUACAACAGAAUGAAGAUUUCUGAAAAAAGUAGAUGGCUAACCUAUUAUAUUUUGGGCCUCAUUGGACUUAGAUAGUGUUAAUGUUUAAAGUUGAAGACAGUAUAUAAUUCAUCAAGAACAGUGGAAUCCAGAAUUAAGCCUCAAAUUUGACUGAUUUACUAUAGAACAAAUAGUACGAAAAUUCACCGGGCCGAGGCCU